CACACACACCUCAGGUGUGGACUCUGCUAUGAAUCAGUGUGAGGACAGAGAGGAGGGAGUCCCUCCCUCUAAAACCAGCCACACCAAAGCUCAGAGGAUCCAUCAGGGACCACACUGUCCUGGACCUGAACCUGGACCUGGACCUGAACCUAGACCUGAAUCUG